AGUGCAGGUCUUUCAAUAUAUGCUACCUAUUUAGCUACAGACUCUAAAAGAGAAAGUGAAAAGAAACCAUUAACAUGACAGCCAGAGUAAUAUUUUCAGGGCCUUUUUUCUUCAUAAUUUUCUGCACAUAUAUUUCAAGCAAUGCAUUGGAAGAUCAUUUCAUCCCUCAAUCUAGCCCACUACCCAACCCAAAUCAUAUAGCUAAAGAUUUACAUAGCAAGGACGUGCAUGUAAAGAUUGUCCAAAGAGGUGGACAUGGAAAGGGAUCUUAUGGCGGCGGAGAUCUUCUUCGUCCCCGCACUCCUCGCCGGAGCAAAGCUUCAGGCUCAUUUCUACUCAAAUCAUCUUCAUUUGUAAUAAUAUUAUUUAGAUAUAUUGUGGUAGGAUUGCUGUUUUACGUUGUAUUUGUUUGAUUAGUGCACAUAAAGCAGUUUAUGUAUUCUAUUAUGUACUUGUUUUGUUACUGAAAUGAAGUUCGGACUCCCUCAAGCCUUGGCCUAGUAGCUAAGCUGGAGGUUCCUCUCCGCCA